UACGGAGGAUGCGAGCGUUAUCCGGAUUUAUUGGGUUUAAAGGGUGCGUAGGCGGACUGUCAAGUCAGCGGUAAAAUACGGGGGCUCAACCUCCGCCCGCCGUUGAAACUGACGGUCUCGAGUGGGCGAGAAGUAUGCGGAAUGCGUGGUGUAGCGGUGAAAUGCAUAGAUAUCACGCAGAACUCCGAUUGCGAAGGCAGCAUACCGGCGCCCAACUGACGCUGAAGCACGAAAGCGUGGGUAUCGAACAGG
rnacentral:rRNA from 1 species